rnacentral:lncRNA from 1 species
UUGUCCGCUUUGGGCCCUUCCGUACGAGGUCACCCUCACGGUUUUGUCCCCUGGGAGUUGCCCCCAAAAGGCGCCUACCAUGUUCUCAGACCACCCCUCUUAUGUACUGAUCGUGAACCUUGUGCGUAGCCGAUGUGGGAUUCGCCUAAGGUGAGUGCACCCCCUUAUUGAGCCACCGCUCCCCCCCCCUUUGGGACUCAGCGUCCGCGCUGAGGUUUGCCCCACCACCGGCCAGAGGGACAAGGCUUGGCUCUGAUACCAAAUGUCAUGGCGCUUGACAUGGCUGAAUAUUGUCCGCUUUGGGCCUUUCCGUACGAGGUCACCCUCACGGUUUUGUUCUUGGGGGAAAUGGGAAACUUCCCAGGAGGUCACCCAUCCUAGGAUUUCCGUUAAGCGAGCACGCUUAACCCUGGAGUUCUUCCAACUCUCCAGCCAUUUCACCACCAAAACGCGUCCUACCAUUCAAGGCACCACCCCUCUUAUGUACAUCACUUACUCCUCGCACUUAACCGAUGUGGGAUUCGCCUAGGUGCACUGUAGGCUUAGAUCCCUCACAGUCACCCCCCGUAGGGACUCAGCGUCC